CAGCAGCCACGGGAAUACAGAGGGUGCAAGCGUUAAUCGGAAUUACUGGGCGUAAAGCGCGCGUAGGUGGUUUGUUAAGUUGGAUGUGAAAUCCCCGGGCUCAACCUGGGAACUGCAUCCAAAACUGGCAAGCUAGAGUAUGGUAGAGGGUGGUGGAAUUUCCUGUGUAGCGGUGAAAUGCGUAGAUAUAGGAAGGAACACCAGUGGCGAAGGCGACCACCUGGACUGAUACUGACACUGAGGUGCGAAAGCGUGGGGAGCAAACAGGAUUAGAUACCCCCGUAGUCCCUGUCUCUUAUAC
rnacentral:rRNA from 1 species